rnacentral:rRNA from 1 species
CCUACGGGAGGCAGCAGUGGGGAAUCUUGCGCAAUGGGCGAAAGCCUGACGCAGCAACGCCGCGUGCGGGAAGAAGGCUUUCGGGCUGUAAACCGCUUUCAGCAGGAACGAAAAUGACGGUACCUGCAGAAGAAGGAGCGGCCAACUAUGUGCCAGCAGCCGCGGUGAUACAUAGGCUUCAAGCGUUGUCCGGAUUUAUUGGGCGUAAAGAGUUCGUAGGCGGUCAAGUAAGUCGGGUGUGAAAAUUCUGGGCUCAACCCAGAGACGCCACCCGAUACUGCUUAACUUGAGUUCGAUAGGGGAGUGGGGAAUUCCUAGUGUAGCGGUGAAAUGCGCAGAUAUUAGGAGGAACACCGGUGGCGAAGGCGCCACUCUGGAUCGAUACUGACGCUGAGGAACGAAAGCAUGGGUAGCAAACAGGAUUAGAUACCCUGGUAGUCCAUGCCGUAAACGGUGGGCACUAGGUGUGGGUUUCUAUUAACGAAAUCCGCGCCGUCGCUAACGCAUUAAGUGCCCCGCCUGGGGAGUACGGUCGCGAGACUAACUACAAGAAGUAGACGCGNGAGACGUGCGACGACGACGACGAGGGAGUAGG